AGAAGUUAAGCUCCUUAGCGUCGAUGGUAGUCGAACUUACGUUCCGCUAGAGUAGAACGUUGCCAGGC
rnacentral:rRNA from 1 species